rnacentral:rRNA from 1 species
AACGAACGCUGGCGGCAUGCCUAACACAUGCAAGUCGAACGAGACCUCCGGGCCUAGUGGCGCACGGGUGCGUAACGCGUGGGAACCUGCCCUUAGGUUCGGAAUAACUCCCCGAAAGGGGUGCUAAUACCGGAUAAUGUCUUCGGACCAAAGAUUUAUUGCCUUUGGAUGGGCCCGCGUUGGAUUAGCUAGUUGGUAGGGUAAAAGCCUACCAAGGCGACGAUCCAUAGCUGGUCUGAGAGGAUGAUCAGCCACACUGGAACUGAGACACGGCCCAGACUCCUACGGAGAGCAGCAGUGGGGAAUAUUGGACAAUGGGCGAAAGCCUGAUCCAGCAAUGCCGGGUGAGUGAUGAAGGCCUUAGGGUUGUAAAGCUCUUUUACCCGGGAUGAUAAUGACAGUACCGGGAGAAUAAGCUCCGGCUAACUCCGUG